rnacentral:lncRNA from 1 species
GACUGACCUCCUCAAGCAAUCCUGUCUGGACCUCAUCUCCGCCAACAACGAGUCCUUCACGAAGCGUUCCGAGCUCAGCAUCAUCCUGCUGAUCAGUGUCGAGAUCUUCAUCUCCCUCACCGACAUGCACUCCGCGCUGAGCGUGGACAACAUGGCGCGAGUAGUGGACUUGGUGACCGCGGGUCUGGGGGGGGGCCCUGAUGCGGGGGGGUUACCGAAGGGCGGCGUCUGAUUGACUUGGG